CCUACGGGUGGCUGCAGUGGGGAAUCUUCCACAAUGGGCGAAAGCCUGAUGGAGCAACGCCGCGUGAAGGAUGAAGGCCUUCGGGUUGUAAACUUCUUUUAUGAGUGAAGAAUAUGACGGUAACUCAUGAAUAAGCACCGGCUAACUACGUGCCAGCAGCCGCGGUCAUACGUAGGGUGCAAGCAUUAUCCGGAGUGACUGGGCGUAAAGAGUUGCGUAGGUGGAUGAAUAAGUGAAUAGUGAAAGCCGAUGGCUCAACCAUUUGGACUAUUAUUCAAACUGUUCGUCUCGAGAGUAGCAGAGGUAACUGGAAUUUCUUGUGUAGGAGUGGAAUCCGUAGAUAUAAGAAGGAACACCAAUGGCGUAGGCAGGUUACUGGGCUAUUUCUGACACUAAGGCACGAAAGCGUGGGGAGCGAACGGGAUUAGAUACCCUUGUAGUC
rnacentral:rRNA from 1 species